rnacentral:rRNA from 1 species
CCCUUAGACGUUCUGGGCCGCACGCGCGCUACACUGACCAGUGCAACAAGCAUCCGUCCUUGGCCGACAGGCUCGGGCAAUCUUUGAACGCUGGUCGUGAUGGGGAUAGACUUUUGCAAUUUUUGGUCUUCAACGAGGAAUUCCUAGUAAACGCAAGUCAUCAACUUGCAUUGAUUACGUCUCUGCCCUUUGUACACACCGCCCGUCGCACCUACCGAUUGAAUGGUCCGGUGAAGCCUCCGGAUUGGCGCGCACCUCGGUGCCGCCGAGAAGUUGGCUAAACCUUACCAUUUAGAGGAAGGUGAAGUCGUAACA